rnacentral:rRNA from 1 species
UUCGGGUUGUAAACCUCUUUCAGCAGGGAAGAAGCGAGAGUGACGGUACCUGCAGAAGAAGCGCCGGCUAACUACGUGCCAGCAGCCGCGGUAAUACGUAGGGCGCAAGCGUUGUCCGGAAUUAUUGGGCGUAAAGAGCUCGUAGGCGGCUUGUCGCGUCGGUUGUGAAAGCCCGGGGCUUAACCCCGGGUCUGCAGUCGAUACGGGCAGGCUAGAGUUCGGUAGGGGAGAUCGGAAUUCCUGGUGUAGCGGUGAAAUGCGCAGAUAUCAGGAGGAACACCGGUGGCGAAGGCGGAUCUCUGGGCCGAUACUGACGCUUGAGGAGCGAAAGCGUGGGGAGCGAACAGGAUUAGAUACCCUGGUAGUCCAAGGGCGAAA